AGGAUCAUUAUUGAAAUAAACCUGAUAAGUUGCUGCUGGUUCUCUAGGGAGCAAUGUGCACACUUGUCAUCUUUAUAUUUUCUCCUGUGCACCUUUUGUAGACCUGAGUAUCUCUCUGAAUGCUUGUUUAGCAUUUAGGAUUGAGAAUUGACUUAUUGUCUCUUCUUAUAUUUUUAGGUCUAUGUUUCUUCAUAUACCCUAAUGUAUGUUUAUAGAAUGUAAUUGAUAGGCCUUUGUGCCUAUAAACCUUUACAACUUUCAGCAACGGAUCUCUUGGCUCUCGCAUCGAUGAAGAACGCAGCGAAAUGCGAUAAGUAAUGUGAAUUGCAGAAUUCAGUGAAUCAUCGAAUCUUUGAACGCACCUUGCGCUCCUUGGUAUUCCGAGGAGCAUGCCUGUUUGAGUGUCAUUAAUAAUAUCAACCUUUUUGGUUGGAUGUGGGUUUGCUGGCCACUUGACAAGMGGUCAGCUUCCCUUAAAUGCAUUAGCGGACAACAUUUUGCCAACCGUUAUUGGUGUGAUAAUUAUCUACGCUAUUGACGUGAAGCAAGGUUCAGCUUCUAACAGUCCAUUGACUUGGACAACCCUCUUUUUAUUAAUGUGACCUCAAAUCAGGUAGGACUACCCGCUGAACUUAA
rnacentral:rRNA from 1 species